UAAAUAAGAAGCAAAUUGUUGCAUUUAGUUUCGACCUAAAAUUAUGAUAUUUUAUCCUUAUUU
rnacentral:tRNA from 1 species